rnacentral:rRNA from 1 species
CACUGCCCGGUAGCUAAAUGCGGAAGAGAUAAGUGCUGAAAGCAUCUAAGCACGAAACUUGCCCCGAGAUGAGUUCUCCCUGACCCUUUAAGGGUCCUGAAGGAACGUUGAAGACGACGACGUUGAUAGGCCGGGUGUGUAAGCGCAGCGAUGCGUUGAGCUAACCGGUACUAAUGAACCGUGAGGCUUAACCUUACAACGCCGAAG